CGCGUAGGCGGGGAUAUAAGUCAGAUGUGAAAUCCUGGGGCUCAACCUCAGAACUGCAUUUGAAACUAUAUCUCUUGAGGGUAGGAGGAGAAAACGGAAUUCCACAAGUAGCGGUGAAAUGCGUAGAUAUGUGGAAGAACACCGGUGGCGAAGGCGGUUUUCUAUCUUAUUCCUGACGCUGAGGCGCGAAAGCAAGGGGAUCAAACA
rnacentral:rRNA from 1 species